rnacentral:rRNA from 1 species
ACCUUACCAGGGCUUGACAUGUCACAAAUCUUCCUGAAAGGGAAGAGUGCCUUCGGGAAUGUGAACACAGGUNGUGCAUGGCUGUCGUCAGCUCGUGUCGUGAGAUGUUGGGUUAAGUCCCGCAACGAGCGUAACCCUUGUCUUUAGUUGCCAUCAUUUAGUUGGGCACUUUAAAGAGACUGCCGGUGAUAAACCGGAGGAAGGUGAGGACGACGUCAAGUCAGCAUGCCCCUUACGCCCUGGGCUACACACGUACUACAAUGGCCGAGACAAAGAGUCGCAAGUUUGCAAAGACAAGCUAAUCUCAUAAACUCGGUCUCAGUUCGGAUUGUAGGCUGCAACUCGCCUACAUGAAGUUGGAAUCGCUAGUAAUCGCCGGUCAGCUAUACGGCGGUGAAUCCGUUCCCGGGCCUUGUACACACCGCCCGUCNACACCAUGGAAGCUGUUCAUGCCCAAAGUCGUUACCUUAACCGCAAGG